rnacentral:rRNA from 1 species
GAUGAACGCUGGCGGCGUGCCUAAUACAUGCAAGUCGAGCGAACAGACGAGGAGCUUGCUCCUCUGACGUUAGCGGCGGACGGGUGAGUAACACGUGGAUAACCUACCUAUAAGACUGGGAUAACUUCGGGAAACCGGAGCUAAUACCGGAUAACAUGUUGAACCGCAUGGUUCAACAGUGAAAGACGGUCUUGCUGUCACUUAUAGAUGGAUCCGCGCCGCAUUAGCUAGUUGGUAGGGUAACGGCUUACCAAGGCAACGAUGCGUAGCCGACCUGAGAGGGUGAUCGGCCACACUGGAACUGAGACACGGUCCAGACUCCUACGGGAGGCAGCAGUAGGGAAUCUUCCGCAAUGGGCGAAAGCCUGACGGAGCAACGCCGCGUGAGUGAAGAAGGUCUUCGGAUCGUAAAACUCUGUUAUUAGGGAAGAACAAAUGUGUAAGUAACUAUGCACGUCCUGACGGUACCUAAUCAGAAAGCCACGGCUAACUACGUG